rnacentral:misc_RNA from 1 species
CAUCAAGCAGUUGAGGAAGAAUAGGGCGGAUUUCAUUUAAGUCCUUGCAAGCUUCAACAAAGCUUCGCAAUGCAAAAACUGAAUCAAUACGGACAGGAAGCUCCGGAUCUCGUAACCCAGAAACAACACUGUGCAAGGCUUUACGGAAAUUGCUCUGGUCUGAGAAGUUAAUGUGGGCAUAUUGUCCUGCAACCCAAGCUGCCUUUGCUCUAAGAUGACCAACAGGGCU